rnacentral:rRNA from 1 species
GACAGAGGUGCCGAGCGUUAGGCGGAAUCACUGGGCUUAAAGCGCGUGUAGGCGGCUCGAUAAGUCUGCUGUGAAAGUCCAGGGCUCAACCCUGGAAUGCCGGUGGAAACUGUCGAGCUAGAGUCCGGAAGAGGCGAGUGGAAUUCCUGGUGUAGCGGUGAAAUGCGCAGAUAUCAGGAGGAACACCAAUGGCGAAGGCAGCUCGCUGGGACGGUACUGACGCUGAGACGCGAAAGCGUGGGGAGCAAACAGG